rnacentral:rRNA from 1 species
CGGGUAGGGUGAGAGCCCUGUAGGCGGAACCUGGUUGUGUGCGUGUAGGGCGUUCUCCCGUUGUAGCACGGGGCUCGUGGAAUCCUGUGUGAGUCUGCCAAGACCACUUGGUUGCCUGAAUACUUCCUGAUGACCGAUAGCGGAUGAGUACCGUGAGGGAAUGGUGAAAAGUACCCCGGGAGGGGAGUGAAAAGAGUACCUGAAACCGGGCGCCGUGCAAGCCGUCAGAGCCUCCCGCCUUGCCUUGUGUGGGUGGGGGUGGUGGCGUGCCUAUUGAAGAAUGAGCCUGCGAGUCAUUGCCGUGUCGCGAGGUUAACCCGGGUAGGGGUAGUCGUAGCGAAAGCGAGUCUGAACAGGGCGGUUGUGAGUGGCGCGGUAUGGACCCGAAGCGGGGUGAUCUACCCAUGGCCAGGUUGAGGCGUGUGUAAGAGCGCGUGGAGGACCGUACCCACCUGGGUUGAAAACCGGGGGGAUGAGCUGUGGGUAGGGGUGAAAGGCCAAUCAGACUCCGUGAUAGCUGGUUCUCCCCGAAAUGCAUUUUGGUGCAGCGGUCGACGCGGCCG